UGGCAACAACUCCUUCUCUGAAGGGAGUCCUCAUAGCUUCCUGCCUCUCUGGCAGUCACUUUAAUUAAGGUUCCUAUUGCGGGACAGGGGAUCAGAUGUUAAGAGUUUGGACAAACUCAUGAAAACCAAAAAUAUACCUGAAGCUCACCAAGAUGCAUUUAAACUGGUUUUGCCAAGGGAUUUCUGAAAUCUCAAGCCCUAACGCAAAAAACCAACGAUUCUCUGAGACAAACUCGUCUGAUUCUCUUCGUUCUGCUGCUGUUUGACAUUUAUGGACUCUUAAAAAAUCCAUUUUUAUCUGUCUGCUUCAGGACAACAGGGCUUGACUCUGCAGUAGAUCCUGUCCAGAUGAAAAAUGUCAACUUUGAAGAUGUUAAAGGAG